UUUCCGUAGGUGAACCUGCGGAAGGAUCAUUACAGAGUUCAUGCCCUCACGGGUAGAUCUCCCACCCUUGAAUAUUUAUACCUUAGUUGCUUUGGCAGGCCGUGGAAACACCAUGGGCUCCGGCUUAUGCGUGCCUGCCAGAGGAAACAAACUCUGUUUUUAGUGAUGUCUGAGUACUAUAUAAUAGUUAAAACGUUCAACAACGGAUCUCUUGGUUCUG
rnacentral:misc_RNA from 1 species